AUUGAACGCUGGCGGCAGGCUUAACACAUGCAAGUCGAGCGGGGGAAGGAAGCUUGCUACCGGACCUAGCGGCGGACGGGUGAGUAAUGCUUAGGAAUCUGCCUAUUAGUGGGGGACAACAUCUCGAAAGGGAUGCUAAUACCGCAUACGUCCUACGGGAGAAGGCAGGGGAUCUUCGGACCUUGCGCUAAUAGAUGAGCCUAAGUCGGAUUAGCUAGUUGGUGGGGUAAAGGCCUACCAAGGCGACGAUCUGUAGCGGGUCUGAGAGGAUGAUCCGCCACACUGGGACCGAGACACGGCCCAGACUCCUACGGGAGGCAGCAGUGGGGAAUAUUGGACAAUGGGGGGAACCCUGAUCCAGCCAUGCCGCGUGUGUGAAGAAGGCCUUAUGGUUGUAAAGCACUUUAAGCGAGGAGGAGGCUACUCUAGUUAAUACCUAGGGAUAGUGGACGUUACUCGCAGAAUAAGCACCGGCUAACUCUGUGCCAGCAGCCGCAGUAA
rnacentral:rRNA from 1 species